rnacentral:rRNA from 1 species
GGGUGCGAUCAUACCAACCUUAAUGCACGGGAUCCCAUCAGAAAUCUGCAGUUAAGCGUGCUUGGGCUAGAGU